rnacentral:lncRNA from 13 species
GUUUAGCCUCCCCACCUACAUCUUUGUCCUAUGCUGGAUGCUUCCUACCCUUGAAUAUCGGACUCCAAGUUUUUCAGCUUUGGGAUUCUGCCUGGAUUCCUGAGUCAGCUCGCAGAUGGCCUGUUGCUGGACCUUGUGAUCGUGUGAAACAAUGGUUUCUCUAUUAACACAGCCAGUAGCUACUGCUCCCAGCAGUGAGGAGAGGCCCAAAGGGAAGACCACAAGCAGGAGAUCCACUAGACUGGGACCCUUCAAGGUUCUCAAGCUAAGCAGAGUGACUGGAUGUGCCAACCAAUUCUUUAUCCUCAGUCUACUGUAGCAACAGCAACUAUACACAGCAAAGAGGGCUUCUUCUAUUUAAGGAUCAUCUGAGUUGGGGCAUCCUAAUUUCGAGGAGUAACUGUCUCUGGCAGCAAAACAGCAAUUGAGCAGUUUGUCACCAAGCUGAGGUUAAGCAUAGAGGGACUUCAUAUCUAUUCUGGUCAGCCUUGGCCAGAUCUAUGCCACAAUCUACCUGACCUAUUUGCUAUUAUAUGUGAUGUGUAUAUGUAUACGUAUAUCUGACCAGAUUUAGAUAUUCAAUUGCAGAUUUAGAUACUCAGUGAUAUUCCAUUAGAAGAAUAUAACUUUUUAUUAUAUAGUCUUUAACCUAGUCUACUUUAUAAAG